rnacentral:rRNA from 1 species
GACGAACGCUGGCGGCGUGCCUAAUACAUGCAAGUCGAACGCAGUGGGGACGGGUGAGUAACACGUGGGUAACCUCCCAUCAGAGGGGAUAACACUUGGAAACAGGUGCUAAACCGAUACUGAUGGAUGGACCCGCGGUGCAUUAGCUAGUUGGUGAGGUAACGGCUCACCAAGGCCACGAUGCAAAGCCGAGCUGAGAGGGUGGUCGGCAACACUGGGAGUGGGACACGGCCGAGAUUCGUACGGGAGGGAGCAGUAGGGAAUCUUCGGCAAUGGACGAAAGUCUGACCGAGCAACGCCGCGUGAGUGAAGAAGGCUUUCGAGUCGUAAAGUUCUUUUAUAUGGGAAGCGGUACCAUAAGAAAAAGCCCCGGCUAACUACGUGCCAGCAGCCGCGGUAAUAC